rnacentral:rRNA from 1 species
CGGGGUGCAGCAGGCGCGAAAACCUUACAAUGCGGGAAACCGUGAUAAGGGGACACCGAGUGCCAGCAUCAUAUGCUGGCUGUCCAGGUGUGUAAAAUACACCUGUUAGCAAGGGCCGGGCAAGACCGGUGCCAGCCGCCGCGGUAACACCGGCGGCCCGAGUGGUGAUCGUGAUUAUUGGGUCUAAAGGGUCCGUAGCCGGUUUGGUCAGUCCUCCGGGAAAUCUGAUAGCUCAACUAUUAGGCUUUCGGGGGAUACUGCCAGGCUUGGAACCGGGAGAGGUAAGAGGUACUACAGGGGUAGGAGUGAAAUCUUGUAAUCCCUGUGGGACCACCUGUGGCGAAGGCGUCUUACCAGAACGGGUUCGACGGUGAGGGACGAAAGCUGGGGGCACGAACCGGAUUAGAUACCCGGGUAGUCCCAGCCGUAAACGAUGCUCGCUAGGUGUCAGGCAUGGCGCGACCGUGUCUGGUGCCGCAGGGAAGCCGUGAAGCGAGCCACCUGGGAAGUACGGCCGCAAGGCUGAAACUUAAAGGAAUUGGCGGGGGAGCACAAGG